AACGGAUACCCUAGUACGGCGAGUGAAAGAGGGGAAAGAGCCCAAGAUUGAAAGCUGGCGUCUUCGGCGUCCGCAUUGUAAUCUCAAGAAGUGUUUUCCGCUUCGGACCAUGCCUAAGUCCCUUGGAAAAGGGCAUCAUAGAGGGUGAUAAUCCCGUACAUGGCAUGGAGCGCCCGAAGCUUUGUGAUACGCUUUCUAAGAGUCGAGUUGUUUGGGAAUGCAGCUCAAAAUGGGUGGUAAAUGCCAUCUAAGGCUAAAUAUUGGGGAGAGACCGAUAGCGAACAAGUACAGUGAUGGAAAGAUGAAAAGAACUUUGAAAAGAGAGUUAAACAGUACGUGAAAUUGCCAAAAGGGAAGGGUAGGAGGUCAGAGAUGCGGCCUGGGAUUCAGCCUUGCUUUUGCUUGGUGUUUUUCCCAGAUUGCAGGCCAACGUCGGUUUUGGGCACUGGAGAAGGGUAGGAGGAACGUGGCACCUCUCGGGGUGUGUUAUAGCCUCCUACUGGAUACAGCGACCGAGACCGAGGACAGCAGCGUACUCGCAAGAGCGGGCCUUCGGGCACCUUUACGCUUAGGGCGUUGGCAUAAUGGCCCUCUACCAC
rnacentral:rRNA from 1 species